rnacentral:rRNA from 1 species
AUGCAUGUUCAUGGUCCCGGCCGAUCGAUCGACCUAUUUGUGGCCAGCAAAGAUCAAAGAGAGACCGCAUGCACACGUCCUGAAAACGCUACUACUCUGCAGCGUUUUGUUUUGUCGCCUUCGCCCAUCGACCAUCGCCGGGUCGGGCUCUCGUUCCCAGCACGCACUAUUGUGCAGGGCCAACAGGUGGCCGACACCUAUCCUGGAAAUUGUCCUCUCCGUGGAUCAACAUCUACCGUGUUCUUUAGCAUGGACGGAGCUCCUGCCACUUCAUCGUCCGCUCCUGCCACUUCAUCGUCCGCAGAUCAUGACACCAAAAAUGUGGGAGAGGCAGGUCGAAACACAGAUGAUGAUUACAGCAAAAGGUUAAAACCAGAGAUAGGAAUGGAAUUUGAGGAUGAAGAGAUAGCAUAUGAGUUUUAUAAUGCAUAUGCAGGUCAUACUGGUUUCAGUGUCAGGAAAUUUUGGCAUGAUAAAUCCUCAACGAAUGUUAUUCGAACAAAAUUUGUAUGCUCAAAGGCAGGUUUCAAGGACAAGAGCAAGGAACAAUGCCAGCGGAAGCGAGCAGAUACAAGAGUUGGGUGUCCGGUAGAGAUGACCAUCAAAAUAAGUGCUAAUGGAAAAUAUGUUAACAAGGAGAAGUGGGCUUUGGUUUAUGGUCGACAAACCUUUUGUGCAGAUAUGAUAUCCACACAAAGAAGCGAGAGUAUGAAUGCACUAUUGAAACGAUACCUGCAUGUUCGCCUUGAUUUAUUAGAUUUCUUCAAGCACUAUGAGAGGGCCGUGGAUGAUAGAAGCAAAGCAGCAGCAAACAAAGAGGCAUAUGCACUACUGCAAAGUAUGUCAAUUGAACUAAUGGAAAAGGUGGACCAAAUUUUACAUGGAAAUCAAUCAAAAGAUAUAUCACCAAAUCAUGAACAAGCAGAGAAGCAACCAGUUGAAUGCAACAUUGAGAAUGUAGUCACAGAGAAGCAACCAGUUGAGUGCAACCUUGAGAAUGUAGUCACGGUACAGGGAAUAAAGAGAAAAGAACAAGGAAAUAGCAACAAGAGGAUUAAUUCUGGACUGGAGCUGAACAAUAAGAAUAAAUGUCAAGGAACAACAUGCAAGAAUAAGAGUGGUGAUUGUGCUUCUGCAUCAUCUGGACCAAAUCCUAGCUUCAGCAUAUCAGAUGAGAACUAUAAUUUGCAAGUAUUACAGCAUGCUAUGCCUCCACUACCAAAUGCUGCUAAUUACAAUUUGCAAGUAUUGCAGCAUGCUAUGCCUCCACUACCAAAUGUUGCGAAUUACAAUCUGCAAGUAUUGCCGCCCGCUAUGCCUUCGGCACCACAAGCUGUUUCCUCAUUACCACAUGCACAUAAUUAUAAUUUGCAUGUACUGCCGGGUACUAUGACAUCGGUACCACGACCUGAGAACUAUAAUUUGCAAGUAUUACAGCAUGGCUUGCCUCCGCUAUCGCCGGCAAGCACUACUAGUUUUCAACAGUUACUUGGCUUGCGACCACAACAACCAUAUGUCUAUCAUAGCAUUCAACCGAGUCAGACUUAUGUGGUGUCAUCGGACUCCGGAUGGCCAACAUCUCAUAAUCACCAGCCGCCAACUAGCACUCAACCAAGUCAGUUCCCAAAUGCUAUCAGACUCGGGAUGGCCAACAUCUCAAAAAUGACCAGCUGCCAAUUCAGCUUGCAUCGAGUUCGCAUCUUCCACUGUGAUCAUCCAACCUCCCGCGGAAUCUCGGCCACCGGCUGCACGCGCUGCAGUUCCACCAUGCCACCAUCUUACAGGGAGCGGGUCAGCCACAACCUUUGGCUGGCCUUGAGUGUGCCGGAGCCGGACGACAACAGCCGCGACGGCCCCGUCUUGCCGCCGGCCAAGUCCACGGCCGAGCGUGGCGCAGCGCGCCUUAGCCGAGCGGAGCUAGCCGUGACGGAUCCCACCUUGCCUCCAGCCAAGACAACGGCCCCAGGCCGCGCAGCGUGCCGGAGGCGAGCGGCGGCGACUCCUGCCUUACCGCCUUCCAACCCUGCAGCUCCUGGCGGCGGCGCGCCGGAGACGGGUGGCGCUAGCCGUGACAGCUCUGGGCAGCGAAGCGCGAUAGAUGUCAGCUACCCGUUGGCCCUGCACGAUAGUGCGUGCUCGAAACCCAGCAGGAGAGCCCGACCCACCAUCGCCCAUCAAUAUAUCGUAAUUUCUGGCCAAGGCCCACUCGACCUCCCCCACCGGCGCCCAAGCCAUCUCUCUAGGCCCCUAUCAUCAGUGAACAACUCCGUGAUCCAUAUAAAUUCACCCACCCCCUCCCCCCGCGGCCGGUCUCGAUCACACUACUGCUACGUACUGCUGCCGCUUCUGCGUCUAGCUACAUACAGGCCCUUCAUUGUUCUUGUUCCCUGGGAGACCCAUGUGCAUGUGACCAACUACAACUAUCCGUGCAGUGAAUUUCAUCGAGAUCCAUGGACCAUGGGUAUCCUAAAACUAUCUGUCUCAUCUCUAACUGCAUGCAUGGCCUUGUCCGUCCGGGCCACUGAAUCCAUGUACCGUGGAGCACAGCGCACGUACUCGACCGUGGAGUGGAGCAUAGUAAACCGAUCAUGCAUGCUAAUCAUGGACAUCCAAUUCAAAAUUUGUCCAUAUUCACAACCCUGCAGGGGCAGUAGUACAGCACUGCUUGUCCAGUGCUACGCAGUACGGUGGUCACUGUCCCCUGCCUCGCGCGAUCCAUGCAUGCUUCCCCAGGAAACCCAUGCAUGCAUGAUUUUUACUCCCUGGAUGGGGAUGGCUGAUGCAGAUCCAAUGCUUGAUGUCGAUGAAUGA